GUUUUUGUUUUAGUUUAGGUUUUGCCGCAAGCAGCUUGUUGAUUGUAAGUAUUAAUUUGUCUAUUUUGUAUCUUUAAUUCAGCAGUAAAAUUUUAAUGAGUUGUAUCUUUCAGAUAGCGCUUGAAGAUGCCACUGUCUAGUACUUGUAUUAAGUGUUCUUGUUUGAUUAAUGAGAGUAUAAACUGCUUACGAAGCUUGUGUGUGGUUUAGGUUUUGCAGCAAGCAGCUUGUUGGUUAUAGCGCUUGAAGAUGACACUGUCUGGUACUUGUAUAAAGUGUUCGUGAUUUAUUAAUGAGAGUAUAAACUU